rnacentral:rRNA from 1 species
AUUGAACGCUGGCGGCAGGCCUAACACAUGCAAGUCGAACGAGUGGCGGACGGGUGAGUAAUGUCUGGGAAACUGCCUGAUGGAGGGGGAUAACUACUGGAAACGGUAGCUAAUACCGCAUACCAUCGGAUGUGCCCAGAGGGGAUUAGCUAGUAGGUGGGGUAACGGCUCACCUAGGCGACGAUCCCUAGCUGGUCUGAGAGGAUGACCAGCCACACUGGAACUGAGACACGGUCCAGACUCCUACGGGAGGCAGCAGUGGGGAAUAUUGCACAAUGGGCGCAAGCCUGAUGCAGCCAUGCCGCGUGUAUGAAGAAGGCCUUCGGGUUGUAAAGUACUUUCGGCGGGGAGGCGUUACCCACAGAAGAAGCACCGGCUAACUCCGUGCCAGCAGCCGCGGUAAUUC